ensembl:lncRNA
AUCAGAGCCUCAAUAUAAGAAUGGAUUCCACUGAUAACAUCAAAUCCAUUCAUUUGAUUAGGCUGAGAUGCGAAGUCAAUAUAGAUUGCAAUAUAUUGCUUUAGAAACAUGACUUCCACAUCACCAGGGUCUUCAUCGUCCCUGAGUUUACCACUGUCCUCUGGGCCCACCACUACUCCAUGCGGUUUUUGAUCCAGCACUUCUGGAACUGAUGUACGAGACUGUCACCAGGAGUUCUUGAGGAGCCUCGUGUACCCGCUGCUGUCAGUGAGCUCUGCCUGUUGCUGCUUAACCUGAUAUAGUGUGAAGCCCUCUUGAAAUGCUACCUUUUCUGAUCCCCAACACUUGAGGUCUCACCACUCCCCCGAGAAAGGAUUAUUGAAUCUGUGUUCAUUUUCUUGGCCCCAUUUGAUCUGGGAACCUAGUGACCUUUAUCAGCACACAACUGGCCUGAUUUGAAGUCAUUUGGGGUUGGUGUGUCUUCUGAAUUUAUUAGAGAGGUUCUCAUAGGAGGCAUGCUUUUGUGACACUCAGAUUGUCAGAGUCCCUCCCCAUGUCCUUUUUUAAGGUUAGUAUUUUUUUUUUUUUUUAAACAAACGCAUGCAAACUAGUUUUACUUUGGGCUUUAUUGUGUGCCUGGCACCAGCCUAAGCAUUUUACAAGCAUUAUCUCAGUCAGCACUUAAUCUCAAUGGCACCAAUAGCAACUAUUUCUUCCCUCAUUUGUGGGAGCUAUUUCUUCCCUCCCUGUCACAGAGCUCACAGGUGGCCAAGCUUAGUGGAUGCCCAGGCCAGCCUGGAAGCCCGGGGCCAUCACCACCUUUCCCAGAGAGGAAACUGAGCCUGAACAGAUUAACACCCAGGGCCUCACAGCUCACCAGAGUUAAGUGACCAGACGGGGUUGGAUCAGGCCCCCCAACUCCCAGAGAAGUUGAAGUGAAAAUGAAGGUACACAAUAAAACCCAGCCUGCAUUGGGGGUCUCCAGGAUGGUCCCACACUUCCCCCCAUCUCCUUCCUACCACCUUGAAGGAUGCACACAGCCUUUCCAGCUCUAGGGGACACAUGGCCGCCCAGGAUCCCAGGCGGCAGGGACACAGGGCUCCUCUGAAUUCUCUUUCCAUUCUGGAUUGGGGGCAGGUGGGGGGACCAUCCAUAAAGCUCCCUCUGGCUUAGAAGCAGAAGGAAGAGACCUGUGUGUGUCCACUUGGCUGAGGGAUCCUCGGUGAGAAGACUGUUCCUGGGUUUGGGUGGCCAUCAGGCGCAGGCACCCACAGCUCUCACCUGGUGCGGAUGCGUGGAGAGGUUUGGAAGCUCUAGGAGAAGAAAGAUGUUGGGAACAAAUAAUGAAAUAACACACCAACAUUAGGAGAUGGCUUGUGCUGCUUGAUUAAAAAAAAAAUCAGAAAGCCAUUUUUGUAAGAAAGGAUGCAGUAUUCUCUUCCUGAUCCUCAUUUUUGGAACGCUAGUGCCUGCACCUUCUCUCCUGCCCAGAGGAAAGAGCCAGGAAAUAGGAAGAUUUCCAAGCCAAAGUCUGCAACUUAUCCAUGGGGCCACAGGAUGAUGCACAUCGCUGACUGGACUCAGGGCCCCUGGAGUCUCCCAUGGCCCACAAAUGCCUUGAACUAAACAUACUGCAGGGAUGCUGACAUCUAUAAACUUAUGAGUCUGAUGCGGUCUCCACUGCUAACUAACCUCUUGAAGCCUUCUUUUGCUCUUUGUGUUUUUUAUUGGAAAGUGGGCAAAAUGAUAGUGUCUACCUGUCUUAGUCCUAGUCCAUUCAGGCUGCUCUAACAGAAUAUCACAAACAGUAAGGUGGCUUUUAAAUGAGACAUUUAUUUCUCAUAGCUCUGGAGGCUGGAAGUCCAAAACUGGGGGAUCCAGUAUGGUUGGAUGAGGGCCCUCUUCUGGGUUGUAGAUACCUCAGUAUACACUUAUGAGGGUAGAAAGGGACAGCAGAAGUGAUUUAUCAGGAGGCUUCUUACAUAAGGCACUAAUACCAUUCAUGAGGGCUGCACCCUCAUGACGUAAGCACCUCUCCGAGGCUUCAGCUCCUGACCAUCAUCUUGCGUGUAGGUUCAGUCACUCAGUCAUGUCCGACUCUCUGUGGCUUCGUGGAUUGUAGACUGCCAGCCUCCUCUGUCCAUGGAAUUUUCUAGUCAAGAGUACUGGAGUGGGUUAACACGCCUUCUCCAGGGAUUCUUCCCGACCCAGGGAUUGAACUCGUGUCUCUUUCAUCUCCUGCGCUGGCAAGUGGAUUCUUUAUCACUGGGGGCUAAGAUUUCCACAUAUGAACUUUGAGGGGACACAGCAUUCAGGUCGUAGUACUACCUCAAAGACUGCUUUAGGUUUUCCAUGAGGAAAUUAUAAAGCAUUUCAAUGCAUGUUUGGUUUAUGCCAAAACUCAAACUAAAUGGUGACUGUCUGUGACUUGCCAUUUUUGUGCCCAUUUUCUCAUUUGGAAAACAGGAUAAACAAUAAAUAACCCUUAUACUCUACUUCAGAAUGGAGUUUAAAUAGGUAAUGUUGGGAAUUCCCUGGUGAUCCAAGGGUUAGGAUUCUAUGGUUUUACAGCUGUGGGCCUGGGCUCGAUCCAUGGUUGGGGAACUACAAUCCUGCCAGGUUUGCCAAGAUAAAAAAAAAAAAAAAAAACUUAAGGUUGAGCCAUAUGAAAUUGUCAAUAUUUGAUCAUUUUUGACCUCUACAAAUUGCAAUUUCUUGUGUGCCAAUCUGAUGACAUGUGGUAUGUCAAUUCAUAUCUAUAGAGCCUUAUAACCAGUUAUACAUAUGAGUGGUUGCUUUGCUUUCUAGUUUCAUUGUGAAACACGUCUCAGAAAAAUGACAAGAUUGCACCUAUGGGAUUGUUUUUCUCUCUUUGUUUCAUUUUAUAGUCUUCUUCACCUCUCCCCAGAACUUGCCCAUCAUCAUAUUUCACAGAACUCUGGAAGGGCAAGCUCUGUUCAUCAGAAACAUCCCACUGGAGAGAGUAGAUUUGUUAUUUUCUGUGUUACGUUGUUAAUUGAUUUGAUAAUUGCCUGGGAGACACACACAGACAUACACAUACACAAAACAAAUGUCAGGCCACACACUUUUCUCUAGACAGUAAGAUGAAGAUGUUUUAGUUAUUGGAACGCAGAUGUCACCUAGAAGAAUAAGAGGAGGUACCGGGAAAAAAAGAGGGGAGUGGAGCCGACAGGGCGGGGGGAGGCAGGCCAUCCCUCUUGGUUAUCAAGCGAAAUGACUCCCCAAAUAUGACAAUAAAUCACUGCAG